rnacentral:tRNA from 1 species
GUCAGAUUGGCCGAGCGGUCUAAGGCGCCAGACUUAAGUUCUGGUUCCCCAAAAGGAGCGUGGGUUCGAAUCCCACAUCUGACA